rnacentral:rRNA from 1 species
GAUGAACGCUGGCGGCGUGCCUAAUACAUGCAAGUCGAGCGAAUGGAUUAAGAGCUUGCUCUUAUGAAGUUAGCGGCGGACGGGUGAGUAACACGUGGGUAACCUGCCCAUAAGACUGGGAUAACUCCGGGAAACCGGGGCUAAUACCGGAUAACAUUUUGAACCGCAUGGUUCGAAAUUGAAAGGCGGCUUCGGCUGUCACUUAUGGAUGGACCCGCGUCGCAUUGGCUAGUUGGUGAGGUAACGGCUCACCAAGGCAACGAUGCGUAGCCGACCUGAGAGGGUGAUCGGCCACACUGGGACUGAGACACGGCCCAGACUCCUACGGGAGGCAGCAGUAGGGAAUCUUCCGCAAUGGACGAAAGUCUGACGGAGCAACGCCGCGUGAGUGAUGAAGGCUUUCGGGUCGUAAAACUCUGUUGUUAGGGAAGAACAAGUGCUAGUUGAAUAAGCUGGCACCUCGACGGUACCUAACCAGAAAGCCACGGCUAACUACGUGCCAGCCGCCGCCGUAAAAC